CCACUGCUAUCGGGGUCCGAUUAAGCCAUGCGAGUCGAGAGGGGUAAAGCCCUCGGCGAACGGCUCAGUAACACGUGGAUAACCUACCCUCAGAUCUGGGAUAACUCCGGGAAACUGGAGAUAAUACCGGAUAAUCCGUGAACGCUGGAGUGCCUCACGGUUGAAAGCUUUAGCGUCUGAGGAUGGGUCUGCGGCCGAUUAGGUAGUUGCUGGGGUAACGUCCCAACAAGCCAAUAAUCGGUACGGGUUGUGAGAGCAAGAGCCCGGAGAUGGAUUCUGAGACACGAAUCCAGGCCCUACGGGGCGCAGCAGGCGCGAAAACUUUACACUGCGCGAAAGCGCGAUAAGGGGACCUCGAGUGCGUGCGCAAUGCGUACGCUUUUCAGAUGCCUAAAAAGCAUGUGGAAUAAGGGCCGGGCAAGACCGGUGCCAGCCGCCGCGGUAACACCGGCGGCUCAAGUGGUGGCCGCUAUUAUUGGGCUUAAAGGGUCCGUAGCCGGACCAGUUAGUCCCUUGGGAAAUCUUACGGCUUAACCGUAAGGCUGCCAAUGGAUACUGCUGGUCUUGGGACCGGGAGAGGUAAGAGGUACUUCAGGGGUAGGAGUGAGAUCCUGUAAUCCUUGAGGGACCGCCAGUGGCGAAGCGUCUUACUAGAACGGGUCCGACGGUGAGGGACGAAAGCUAGGGGCACGAACCGGAUUAGAUACCCGGGUAGUCCUAGCCGUAAACGAUGCGAGCUAGGUGUCACGUGGAUUGCGAAUCCAUGUG
rnacentral:rRNA from 1 species